AGAGUUUGAUCAUGGCUCAGAAUCAACGCUGGCGGCGUGCCUAACACAUGCAAGUCGAACGCGGUUAUCCAGCAAUGGAUAACUGAGUGGCGAACGGGUGAGUAACACGUGGGUGACCUACCUUCGAGUGGGGGAUAACGUCCCGAAAGGGACGCUAAUACCGCAUAACAUCCUGCCUUUGAACAGGUGGAGAUCAAAGCCGGGGAUCGCAAGACCUGGCGCUUGGUGAGGGGCCCGCGUCCGAUUAGCUAGUUGGUGAGGUAACGGCUCACCAAGGCAACGAUCGGUAGCCGGCCUGAGAGGGCGGACGGCCACACUGGGACUGAGACACGGCCCAGACUCCUACGGGAGGCAGCAGUGGGGAAUUGUUCGCAAUGGGCGCAAGCCUGACGACGCAACGCCGCGUGGAGGAUGAAGGUCUUCGGAUUGUGAACUCCUGUUGCCCGGGACGAAAAGCUCCGACCUAACACGUCGGAGUCUGACGGUACCGGGUGAGGAAGCCCCGGCUAACUCUGUGCCAGCAGCCGCGGUAAUACAGAGGGGGCAAGCGUUGUUCGGAAUUACUGGGCGUAAAGGGCGCGUAGGCGGCCUGCUAAGUCGAACGUGAAAUCCCUGGGCUCAACCCAGGAACUGCGUCCGAUACUGGUUGGCUUGAAUUCGGGAGAGGGAUGUGGAAUUCCAGGUGUAGCGGUGAAAUGCGUAGAUAUCUGGAGGAACACCGGUGGCGAAGGCGGCAUCCUGGACCGAUAUUGACGCUGAUGCGCGAAAGCCAGGGGAGCAAACGGGAUUAGAUACCCCGGUAGUCCUGGCCCUAAACGAUGAAUGCUUGGUGUGGCGGGUAUCGAUCCCUGCCGUGCCGAAGCUAACGCAUUAAGCAUUCCGCCU
rnacentral:rRNA from 1 species